rnacentral:rRNA from 1 species
AUUGAACGCUGGCGGCGUGCUUUACACAUGCAAGUCGGACGAGUGGCGAACGGGUGAGUAACGCAUCGGAACGUACCGAGCAAAGGGGGAUAACUACGGGAAACUGUAGCUAAUACCGCGUACCAUAGGAUGAGCCCAAGUGGGAUUAGGUAGUUGGUGAGGUAAAGGCUCACCAAGCCGACGAUCGCUAGCUGGUCUGAGAGGAUGACCAGCCACACUGGGACUUAGACACGGCCCAGACUCCGACGGGAGGCAGCAGUGGGGAAUCUUGCGCAAUGGGGGCAACCUGACGCAGCCAUGCCGCGUGAAUGAAGAAGGCCUUCGGGUUGUAAAGUUCUUUCGGUAGAGAGGCGUUAUCUACAGAGGAAGCACCGGCUAACUCCGUGCCAGCCGCCGCGGUAAUUC